CCUACGUGAGGCAGCAGUGAGGAAUAUUGGUCAAUGGGCGCGAGCCUGAACCAGCCAAGUAGCGUGAAGGAUGACUGCCCUACGGGUUGUAAACUUCUUUUAUAAAGGAAUAAAGUGAGGCACGUGUGCCUUUUUGUAUGUACUUUAUGAAUAAGGAUCGGCUAACUCCGUGCCAGCAGCCGCGGUAAUACGGAGGAUCCGAGCGUUAUCCGGAUUUAUUGGGUUUAAAGGGAGCGUAGAUGGGUUGUUAGGUCAGUUGUGAAAGUUUGCGGCUCAACCGUAAAAUUGCAAUUGAUACUGGCAGUCUUGAGUACAGUUGAGGUAGGCGGAAUUCGUGGUGUAGCGGUGAAAUGCUUAGAUAUCACGAAGAACUCCGAUUGCGAAGGCAGCUUACUAAACUGCCACUGACAUUGAUGCUCGAAAGUGUGGGUAUCAAACAGGAUUAGAUACCCCAGUAGUC
rnacentral:rRNA from 1 species